CGAUUCUCUUCUCCCUCUAUAAAUUAACUCCGCUCUCUAUCAAACUCGGCUUCUCAAAUCUUUCCAUCUUUCGGUUACUUGAGGUUUUAUCAGGGUUUUAUCUCAAAUUAAACCCUGAUUCCAGCCCUACAUCCGUGAACAUACCCCCUUAUUAACCUUUCUUUCCUCGACGUUUCUCAUUUCCUCUUCCCCUAGGGUUCUUUUGGUGAUCGAUUGCGGCUAGA
rnacentral:misc_RNA from 1 species